UACGAAGGGGGCUAGCGUUGCUCGGAAUCACUGGGCGUAAAGGGUGCGUAGGCGGGUCUUUAAGUCAGGGGUGAAAUCCUGGAGCUCAACUCCAGAACUGCCUUUGAUACUGAGGAUCUUGAGUUCGGGAGAGGUGAGUGGAACUGCGAGUGUAGAGGUGAAAUUCGUAGAUAUUCGCAAGAACACCAGUGGCGAAGGCGGCUCACUGGCCCGAUACUGACGCUGAGGCACGAAAAGCGUGGGGGAGCAAACA
rnacentral:rRNA from 1 species